GCUCCCUUGGCCUAGUGGUAACUCUCCCGCCUGCGGUAUGGGUGACCCGGGUUCGAUUCCCGCUAUGGGCG